rnacentral:rRNA from 1 species
GAUGAACGCUGGCGGCGUGCCUAAUACAUGCAAGUCGAGCGAAAAGACGAGGAGCUUGCUCCUCUGACGUUAGCGGCGGACGGGUGAGUAACACGUGGAUAACCUACCUAUAAGACUGGGAUAACUUCGGGAAACCGGAGCUAAUACCGGAUAAUAUAUUGAACCGCAGGGUUCAAUAGUGAAAGACGGUUUUGCUGUCACUAAUAGAUGGAUCCGCGCCGCAUUAGCUAGUUGGUAAGGUAACGGCUUACCAAGGCAACGAUGCGUAGCCGACCUGUGAGGGUGAUCGGCCACACUGGAACUGAGACACGGUCCAUACUCCUACGGGAGGCAGCAGUCGGCAAUCUUCCGCAAUGGGCGAAAGCCUGACGCAGCAACGCCGCGUGUGUGAUGACGGUCUUCGGAUCGUAAAGCUCUGUUAUUAGGGAUGAACAAAUGUGUCAGUAACUAUGCACGUCUUGACGGUACCUGAUCAGAAAGCCCCGGCUAACUACGUG